CAAGCUGACCCUGAAGUUCAUCAAGAGUGAACUUCAGGGUCAGCUUGU
rnacentral:misc_RNA from 1 species